rnacentral:rRNA from 1 species
GACGAACGCUGGCGGCGUGCUUAACACAUGCAAGUCGAACGGUGAAGCGCCUUCCUUUUUGGUGGGUGUGGAUGAGUGGCGAACGGGUGAGUAACACGUGAGUACCCUGCCCCCUUCUUCUGGAUAACCGCAUGAAAGUGUGGCUAAUACGGGAUAUUCUGGGUCUGUCGCAUGAUGGGUCUGGGAAAGAUGUUGUUUCGGUGGGGGAUGGGCUCGCGGCCUAUCAGCUUGUUGGUGGGGUGAUGGGCUACCACGGCGGGGAGGUGUAGCCGGCCUGGGAGGGUGGACGGUCACACUGGGACUGAGACACGGUCCGGACUCCUAUGGGAGGCAGCCGUGGGGAAUAUUGCACAGUGGGCGCAAGUGUGAUGCAGCGACGCCGCGUGAGGGAUGGAGGCCUGCGGGUUGUGAACCUCUUUCGCCAGUGAAGCAGGCCUGCCUCGUUUGUGGGUGGGUUGACGGUAGCGGGAUAAGAAGCGCCGGCUAACUACGUG